CUACGUGCCAGCAGCCGCGGUAAUACGGAAGGUCCGGGCGUUAUCCGGAUUUAUUGGGUUUAAAGGGAGCGUAGGCCGGAGAUUAAGUGUGUUGUGAAAUGUAGACGCUCAACGUCUGACUUGCAGCGCAUACUGGUUUCCUUGAGUACGCACAACGUUGGCGGAAUUCGUCGUGUAGCGGUGAAAUGCUUAGAUAUGACGAAGAACUCCGAUUGCGAAGGCAGCUGACGGGAGCGCAACUGACGCUUAAGCUCGAAGGUGCGGGUAUCGAACAGGAUUAGAUACCCUGGUAGUCCGCACAGUAAACGAUGGAUGCCCGCUGUUGGUACCUGGUAUCAGCGGCUAAGCGAAAGCAUUAAGCAUCCCACCUGGGGAGUACGCCGGCAACGGUGAAGCUCAAAGGAAUUGACGGGGGCCCGCACAAGCGGAGGAACAUGUGGUUUAAUUCGAUGAUACGCGAGGAACCUUACCCGGGCUUGAAUUGCAGAGGAAGGAUUUAGAGAUA
rnacentral:rRNA from 1 species